rnacentral:rRNA from 1 species
UGGCUCACCAAGUCGAUGACGCCUAACUGGUUUGAGAGGAUGAUCAGUCACACUGGAACUGAGACACGGUCCAGACUCCUACGGGAGGCAGCAGGGGGGAAUAUUGCACAAUGGAGGAAACUCUGAUGCAGCAACGCCGCGUGGAGGAUGACACUUUUCGGAGCGUAAACUCCUUUUAUAUAGGAAGAUAAUGACGGUACUAUAUGAAUAAGCACCGGCUAACUCCGUGCCAGCAGCCGCGGUAAUACGGAGGGUGCAAGCGUUACUCGGAAUCACUGGGCGUAAAGAGCGUGUAGGCGGAUAGAUAAGUUUGAAGUGAAAUCCAAUGGCUUAACCAUUGAACUGCUUUGAAGACUGUCUGUCUAGAAUAUGGGAGAGGUAGAUGGAAUUUCUGGUGUAGGGGUAAAAUCCGUAGAGAUCAGAAGGAAUACCGAUUGCGAAGGCGAUCUACUAGAACAUUAUUGACGCUGAGACGCGAAAGCGUGGGGAGCAAACAGGAUUAGAUACCCUGGUAGUCCGCGCCCUAAACGAUGUACACUAGUUGUUGCGAUGCUAGACAUUGCAGUAAUGCAGUUAACACAUUAAGUGUACCGCCUGGGGAGUACGGUCGCAAGAUUAAAACUCAAAGGAAUAGACGGGGACCCGCACAAGCGGUGGAGCAUGUGGUUUAAUUCGACAUACGCGAAGAACCUUACCUGGACUUGACAUAGUAAGAACUUUCUAGAGAUAGAUUGGUGUCUGCUUGCAGAAACUUAUAUACAGGUGCUGCACGGCUGUCGUCAGCUCGUGUCGUGAGAUGUUGGGUUAAGUCCCGCAACGAGCGCAACCCUCGUCGUUAGUUGCUAACAGUUCGGCUGAGAACUCUAACGAGACUGCCUACGCAAGUAGGAGGAAGGUGAGGACGACGUCAAGUCAUCAUGGCCCUUACGUCCAGGGCUACACACGUGCUACAAUGGGGCAUACAAAGAGCAGCAAUACGGUGACGUGGAGCAAAUCUCAAAAAUGCCUCCCAGUUCGGAUAGUAGUCUGCAACUCGACUACUUGAAGUUGGAAUCGCUAGUAAUCGUAGAUCAGCAAUGCUACGGUGAAUACGUUCCCGGGUCUUGUACUCACCGCCCGUCACACCAUGGGAGUUGAACUCAUUCGAAGCGGGGAUGCUAAAGUAGCUACCCUCCACAGUGGAUUCAGCGACUGGGGUGAAGUCGUAACAAGGUAACCGUAGGAGAACCUGCGGUUG